CCAAUGCGAACAUCAUUUCAUUGCUAUUCAAUUGUUCCUAGAGUGGCACACAGCAGACGACAUGUCGAUCCCGCUCUAGGGUAUCCCAGAGCUGCAGAAUCUUUUGCUGAUAAAAGGAUAACAUGAUUGGCCGUGAUUGGAGUCAAUGAUUAAUAUCUCCAAGUCGGGCGCUUAGCUCGCAUGUCAAAUGUCUCUCUAUUUGGCUCCGCCAUUCUCAUCCGAGGGACAAUCCCAAGCGCGUUGAAUGGUAUUCAUCAAGUUAGUUGGUUCUAAACGGUGUGAGGCGCCAAUUCGCUAACGGCAACAUCGUCGGCCAGGCGGGAAUUCAGG
rnacentral:sRNA from 1 species